UACGGGGGGGGCAAGCGUUGUUCGGAAUUACUGGGCGUAAAGGGCUCGUAGGCGGCCAACUAAGUCGGACGUGAAAUCCCCAGGCUCAACCUAGGAACUGCGUCUGAUACUGGAUGGCUUGAAUCCGGGAGAGGGAUGCAGAAUUCCAGGUGUAGCGGUGAAAUGCGUAGAUAUCUGGAGGAAUACCGGUGGCGAAGGCGGCAUCCUGGACCGGCAUUGACGCUGAGGAGCGAAAGCCAGGGGAGCAAACGGG
rnacentral:rRNA from 1 species